rnacentral:rRNA from 1 species
CCUACGGGUGGCUGCAGUGGGGAAUAUUGGACAAUGGGGGCAACCCUGAUCCAGCCAUGCCGCGUGUGUGAAGAAGGCCCUCGGGUUGUAAAGCACUUUCAGUGAGGAAGAACGCCUGGUGGUUAAUACCCAUCAGGAAAGACAUCACUCACAGAAGAAGCACCGGCUAACUCCGUGCCAGCAGCCGCGGUAAUACGGAGGGGGCGAGCGUUAAUCGGAAUUACUGGGCGUAAAGCGCGCGUAGGUGGCUUGAUAAGCCGGUUGUGAAAGCCCCGGGCUCAACCUGGGAACGGCAUCCGGAACUGUCAAGCUAGAGUGCAGGAGAGGAAGGUAGAAUUCCCGGUGUAGCGGUGAAAUGCGUAGAGAUCGGGAGGAAUACCAGUGGCGAAGGCGGCCUUCUGGACUGACACUGACACUGAGGUGCGAAAGCGUGGGUAGCAAACAGGAUUAGAUACCCUUGUAGUC